CAUCAGCUGCUUGUCUUGCUUGCUUCCUUGUAUUGUUACUUUUUUGGGAGGUUGGGUUUUGAUUGUUGAAAAGUUAAAUUUAAAUUACUUGUCUCUUCUUGUCACCUGCCAUCACCAGUUUAUCAUAACUAUCAAAAUGAAUAUGAAGUCUGGACUGCCACCCCCUCCUCUCACACAGCGGGAGUCUGGACUUCUUU